rnacentral:rRNA from 1 species
AACGAACGCUGGCGGCAUGCCUAACACAUGCAAGUCGAACGAGACCUUCGGGUCUAGUGGCGCACGGGUGCGUAACGCGUGGGAACCUGCCCUUAGGUUCGGAAUAACUCCCCGAAAGGGGUGCUAAUACCGGAUAAUGUCUUCGGACCAAAGAUUUAUCGCCUUUGGAUGGGCCCGCGUUGUAUUAGCUAGUUGGUAGGGUAAAAGCCUACCAAGGCGACGAUCCAUAGCUGGUCUGAGAGGAUGAUCAGCCACACUGGGACUGAGACACGGCCCAGACUCCUACGGGAGGCAGCAGUGGGGAAUAUUGGACAAUGGGCGAAAGCCUGAUCCAGCAAUGCCGCGUGAGUAAUGAAGGCCUUAGGGUUGUAAAGCUCUUUUACCCGGGAUGAUAAUGACAGUACCGGGAGAAUAAGCACCGGCUAACUCCGUG